rnacentral:rRNA from 1 species
AUCGAGGACAGUGUAUGGUGGGUAGUUUGACUGGGGCGGUCUCCUCCUAAAGAGUAACGGAGGAGUACGAAGGUGCGCUCAGACCGGUCGGAAAUCGGUCGUAGAGUAUAAAGGCAAAAGCGCGCUUGACUGCGAGACAGACACGUCGAGCAGGUACGAAAGUAGGUCUUAGUGAUCCGGUGGUUCUGUAUGGAAGGNUUCUGUAUGGAAGGGCCAUCGCUCAACGGAUAAAAGGUACUCCGGGGAUAACAGGCUGAUACCGCCCAAGAGUUCAUAUCGACGGCGGUGUUUGGCCCCUCGAUGUCGGCUCAUCACAUCCUGGGGCUGAAGCCGGUCCCAAGGGUAUGGCUGUUCGCCAUUUAAAGUGGUACGCGAGCUGGG